CGAAGCAGAACAGGUAGUCGCCCCGUUGUAUUUGAUACGAACGGGGAGGAAAGUCCGAGCUCCAAAGGGCAAGGUGCUCCGUAAUGCGGAGUCCCGGUAACGGGAAGGAAAGUGCCACAGAAAGGGAAACCACCCCGAAUGUAUCGGGGAAAGGGUGAAAAGGUGUCUGCCUCAGGCAGAUUCCCGGAACUGAGUAUGCACCGGGGAAGGUAAGAGCUCACCAGUGUCACGGGCGACCGGACAGCUUGGUAAACCCCACCUGGAGCAAGGCCAAAUAGGUUCCGCGUUGAGAGGGGCCCCUUCAAAUCCCUGUCUCGGCAGGGAGGCGGAACGGGUAAGGCCGCAUGAUCCUGGCUGUAAGGUCAGGGCUUAGAUGAAUGACUACAGUCCGCCUCAGGCGGAUUACAGAACUCGGCUUAUGGACUGCUUCGGCAU
rnacentral:RNase_P_RNA from 1 species